rnacentral:lncRNA from 1 species
AAUCAUAUGAAAUCUAAGAAUCAUGAAUCAAACAUGUUUUCUCAAACUCGAUUGGUUGCCAACACAAUGUCUUCGUAUUUAUUUUCACAUUCGUCGUUUUCCUACUCUUCAGUAUUCACAUUCUUUCUCGUAAUCUUGAUUAUGGAUAUCAUGACGUUAUCAUCAUUACUUUCAUCGUCUACUUCUUCGCUAUAUUCUGAUUUUUGAUCUUCCUAAUCAUCUUCCCCACUUUCCUCAUACUCUCCAUUUUCUGUUUCGUAAAACAUCUAUUAUUAUGUAGUUAAACAAAGUAAAAAAAUUUAAUACUUACUAACCUUAACCAAACAUAUAUCUCCAUAAGCAUAUAAAUUAAUUACCCAAAUUUUGUUUUUAGUUUGACCUUCAUGACCUUGCAUUUGACCUUCAUUUAACUUUCUAAACUUGAACAAUUUUAGUUUGAUGUGCAUUCACUUGUAGUUUAACGUGAACAAUUUUCAUUAUAUUAGCCAAGAGAAC